AGGGCGUUCCGAGGCCUUUCCGCCGUUGUCGCUGGCUCCGCCAUCUUGAAGGCGAGGAAGCUGGCGGGGGCUGGCGCGGUUUCGUGAAUCCGUCACCAUCCGGCCGCGGUCUUGUUGAGACUUCUUGAGGGCUGAGCCCGGGGGAACGUCCCCGACAUGAGAGCUAAGUGGCGAAAGAAGCGGAUGCGCAGGCUGAAGCGCAAAAGGAGAAAGAUGAGGCAGAGGUCCAAGUAGACGUUGCUCACAGUGCUACUGAAGCUGCAAAAUGAGAGUAUGGAAGGAUGGAGCUUGGGAAGCUGAAUUCCAGAUAACGCCUUCUAUUUGCUGCUGCCAGAAGACCCCUUACCUACCUUCAGGAGAUUCCAUCUUAAAGUCUAGGAGCCAUGCUUCUUCAAGGGUCGAGCUUUGAGCUGUACUAUUCUGGACUCAUCCUCUUUGUGGCUUGAUGUAGCAACUGUAUAAAAUAAAACCCUUUUCUUGGGAAUUCAGCACAUUUUUUCUUAACAAUUCUUGAAUAAUCAGUAAAAGGUUUUGAAAUUA